CCCUCGGUUGGGGAGUAGCCUGUUUCCGUUUCAAAUGGAAAAGUUUGUAUCAACAUAAUUGGUCACAUUACCAUGGUACAAACACCUAUUGGUUGGCGAGACCAUCGAUAAGUCCACGCUUAAAGGU
rnacentral:sRNA from 2 species